rnacentral:rRNA from 1 species
GACGAACGCUGGCGGCGUGCUUAACACAUGCAAGUCGAACGGAAAGGCCCCUUCGGGGGUACUCGAGUGGCGAACGGGUGAGUAACACGUGGGUGAUCUACCCUGCACUUCGGGAUAAGCCUGGGAAACUGGGUCUAAUACCGGAUAUGACCACGAGAUGCAUGUCUUGUGGUGGAAAGCUUUUGCGGUGUGGGAUGGGCCCGCGGCCUAUCAGCUUGUUGGUGGGGUGACGGCCUACCAAGGCGACGACGGGUAGCCGGCCUGAGAGGGUGUCCGGCCACACUGGGACUGAGAUACGGCCCAGACUCCUACGGGAGGCAGCAGUGGGGAAUAUUGCACAAUGGGCGCAAGCCUGAUGCAGCGACGCCGCGUGGGGAUGACGGCCUCGG